rnacentral:rRNA from 1 species
GACGAACGCUGGCGGCGUGCCUAAUACAUGCAAGUAGAACGCACAGUUUAUACCGUAGCUUGCUACACCAUAGACUGUGAGUUGCGAACGGGUGAGUAACGCGUAGGUAACCUGCCUGGUAGCGGGGGAUAACUAUUGGAAACGAUAGCUAAUACCGCAUAAUAUUAAUUAUUGCAUGAUAAUUAAUUGAAAGGUGCAAUUGCACCACUACCAGAUGGACCUGCGUUGUAUUAGCUAGUAGGUGAGGUAACGGCUCACCUAGGCGACGAUACAUAGCCGACCGGAGAGGGUGAUCGGCCACACUGGGACUGAGACACGGCCCAGACUCCUACGGGAGGCAGCAGUAGGGAAUCUUCGGCAAUGGACGAAAGUCUGACCGAGCAACGCCGCGUGAGUGAAGAAGGGUGUCGGAUCGUAAAGCUCUGUUGUAAGAGAAGAACGGGUGUGAGAGUGGAAAGUUCACACUGUGACGGUAUCUUAACAGAAAGGGACGGCUAACUACGUG